GAGAAGCAAGCCUGUGAAGGGGAGCGAAACUCAAAAACCGGUCCCAGUUCGGAUUGUAGGCUGCAACUCGCCUACAUGAAGUCGGAGUUGCUAGUAAUCGCGGAUCAGAAUGCCGCGGUGAAUGCGUUCCCGGGCCUUGUACACACCGCCCGUCAAACCAUGAGAGUUGGCAACACCCGAAGUCGGUAGUCUAACCGCAAGGAGGACGCCGCCGAAGGUGGGGUUGAUGAUUAGGGUUAAGUCGUAACAAGGUAGC
rnacentral:rRNA from 1 species